rnacentral:misc_RNA from 1 species
GAAAAAAUGGCUCAUUUAGCUUCUAGGGGAGGAGAUGUGCUUCCUUCUUUUGGUCAUGGAGCUGGCUCACCGUGGUUAGCAACAAAUGACUACGUGCAAAAGUUGGCUGAAGAAAGUUCUGCUCUGGAUGCUGAAAUCUCAGGAUGUCUUCAUCUCCUCUAUCAUCCUGGCUUGCUCAGUGGCCGUUUUUGUCCAGAUGCUUCUCCUUCUGGUUCAUCAGGUGUGCUUCGAAGACCU